GACGAACGCUGGCGGCAUGCCUAACACAUGCAAGUCGAACGAGAUCUUCGGGUCUAGUGGCGCACGGGUGCGUAACGCGUGGGAAUCUGCCCUUUGGUUCGGAAUAACAGUUGGAUACGACUGCUAAUACCGGAUGAUGACGAAAGUCCAAAGAUUUAUCGCCAGAGGAUGGGCCCGCGUAGGAUUAGCUAGUUGGUGUGGUAAAGUGACACCAAGGCGACGAUCCUUAGCUGGUGUGAGGGGAUGAUCAGCCACACUGGGACUGAGACGCGGCCCAGACUCCGACGGGAGGCAGCAGUGGGGAAUAUUGGACAAUGGGCGAAAGCCUGAUCCAGCAAUGCCGCGUGAGUGAUGAAGCCCUUAGGGUUGUAAAGCUCUUUUACCCGGGAUGAUAAUGACAGUACCGGGAGAAUAAGCUCCGGCUAACUCCGUGCCAGCAGCCGCCGUAA
rnacentral:rRNA from 1 species